ensembl:lncRNA
CUGAUUUCAACGAUCAAUGAUAGUAACCCACCACAAACUGUUCACAAGAAGUCACAAAUAUAUAGUACUAAAAUUUGCCAUUAUCAGAUAAAGAUUAUUGGUGGCCAAGGUCCUCACUUUAGCGUCCUUCACCCAUCGAGCCACAGCAUAUUGGUAGGCAUCAGUGCUCUUAAAUGCUUUCAAGAGCGACGACCAAUAAAAAACAACAGUGUUACCCCUUAUGUUUUUUUUCAUGACGACCAAUAAAAAACAACAGUUUUACCCCUUAUGUUUUUUUUCUUGACGACCAAUAAAAAACUACAGUGUUACCCCUUAUGUUUUAUUUGAUAAAUAUCGGCAGUGUUACCCCUCAAGUUUUUUCCAUGUUGACCAAUAAAUUACAACAGUGGCACCCUUGUCGACGUUUUUGCGGGGAUAAGAAAAUGAGCUGUUUAGCGUGUUAACCUCCGAACUUAACAAUGCACCAUCAAGACACCGGAUAAAGUCAUCACAAAAAUUAAACUUGACUUUAUAAUUCGCAUGCAAUAGAGACACAAGCCUUUCCACAGACGACAUCAAGCGGACUUGAACCCCGGUCUCCAGUGGGUUAGGCAGAGUGCACUCCACUGCACCACUGAGGCGAUGACACUACAAAAAAUCAAUCAUCAAUAAAGAGGAUAUACAUGACAUUAAAAUGUAUGUGUGUAUUUCUAUUAUUUCCCUUAUGUUUUUUUUAAUGACGACCAUUAAAAAACGACAGUGUUACCCCUUAUAUUAUAUUUGACAUAGGCAACAAUGUUACCCUUUAUGGUUUUUUUCAUGACGACCAAUAAAAAACAACAGUGUUACCCCUUAUGUUUUUUUUCAUGACGACCAAUAAAAAACAACAGUGUUACCCCUGAUGUUUUUUUCUUGACGACCAAUAGAAAACUACAGUGUUACCCCUUAUGUUUUUUUCAUGACGACCGAUAAAAAACGACAGUGUUACCCCUUAUGUUUAUUUUCAUGACGACCAAAGAAAAACAACAGUGUCACCCCCUAUGUUUUAUUUGAUAAAUAUCGACAGUGUUACCCCUCAUGUUUUUUCCAUGUUGACCAAUAAAUUACAACAGUGGCACCCUUGUCGACGUUUUUGCGGGGAUAAGAACAUGAGCUGUUUAGCGUGUUAACCUCCGAACUUAACUAUGCAACAUCAAGACACCGGAUAAAGUCAUCAAAAAAGGUACACUUGACUUUAUAAUUCGCAUGUAAUAGAGACAAAGCCUUUCAACAGACGACAUCAAGCGGACUUGAACCCCGGUCUCCAGUGGGCUAUGACAAUACACAAAAAUCAAUCAUCAAUAAAGAGGAUAUACAUGACAUUAAAAUGUAUGUGUGU